AUUGAACGCUGGCGGAAUGCUUUACACAUGCAAGUCGAACGAUGAACCUUAGCUUGCUAAGGGGAUUAGUGGCGAACGGGUGAGUAAUGUAUCGGAACGUAUCCAAUAAUGGGGGAUAACUAGUCGAAAGAUUAGCUAAUACCGCAUACGUCCUACGGGAGAAAGCUAGGGACCUUCGGGCCUGGCGUUAAUGGAGCGGCCGAUAUCUGAUUAGCUAGUUGGUGGGGUAAAGGCUCACCAAGGCGACGAUCAGUAGCUGGUCUGAGAGGACGACCAGCCACACUGGAAAUGAGACACGGUCCAGACUCCUACGGGAGGCAGCAGUGGGGAAUUUUGGACAAUGGGCGAAGGCCUGAUCCAGCCAUUCCGCGUGAGUGAAGAAGGCCUUCGGGUUGUAAAGCUCUUUCGCAAGAGAAGAAAACUUAAGCUCUAACAUAGCUUGAGGUUGACGGUACCUUGAUAAGAAGCACCGGCUAACUACGUGCCAGCCGCCGCAGUAA
rnacentral:rRNA from 1 species